ACAUGCCUACAACAUAGCAUUAAUGCACCGGAUCCCAUUAGAACUCUGCAGUAAGUGCGCUCAGGCUAGAGUAGUACUGGGAUGGGUGACCGCCCGGGAAGUCCUAGUGUUUUACAUGCC
rnacentral:rRNA from 1 species